rnacentral:rRNA from 1 species
AUUGAACGCUGGCGGCAUGCUUUACACAUGCCAGUCGAACGGCAGCGCGGGCUUCGGCCUGGCGGCGAGUGGCGAACGGGUGAGUAAUGCAUCGGAACGUGCCCAGUAGUGGGGGAUAGCCCGGCGAAAGCCGGAUUAAUACCGCAUACGACCUGAGGGUGAAAGCGGGGGACCGAAAGGCCUCGCGCUAUUGGAGCGGCCGAUGUCGGAUUAGCUAGUUGGUGGGGUAAAGGCUUACCAAGGCGACGAUCCGUAGCUGGUCUGAGAGGACGACCAGCCACACUGGGACUGAGACACGGCCCAGACUCCUACGGGAGGCAGCAGUGGGGAAUUUUGGACAAUGGGGGCAACCCUGAUCCAGCCAUGCCGCGUGCGGGAAGAAGGCCUUCGGGUUGUAAACCGCUUUUGUUCGGGAAGAAAUCCUCUGGGCUAAUACCCCGGGGGGAUGACGGUACCGGGAGAAUAAGCACCGGCUAACUACGUG